GCCUGGGUGGCUCAGUGGUUGAGCAUCUGCCUUCAGCUCAGGGCAUGAUCCCAGGAUCCUGGGAUCAAAUCCCACAUUAGGCU
rnacentral:tRNA from 1 species